rnacentral:rRNA from 1 species
UACGUAGGGUGCAAGCGUUAAUCGGAAUUACUGGGCGUAAAGGGUGCGUAGGCGGUUGUUUAAGUCUGUCGUGAAAUCCCCGGGCUCAACCUGGGAAUGGCGAUGGAUACUGGCGAGCUAGAGUGUGUCAGAGGAUGGUGGAAUUCCCGGUGUAGCGGUGAAAUGCGUAGAGAUCGGGAGGAACAUCAGUGGCGAAGGCGGCCAUCUGGGACAACACUGACGCUGAAGCACGAAAGCGUGGGGAGCAAACAGG